GGGUUUGUGGGAAAUGUGAGGCGAGAGGCUUCGGCGGCGGGAGAAGGGGCUUCGUCCCACCGCCAUCUUUGCGGUGGGUUCUGCUGAAGCCGAACGAUCCUGCAUAUUGUGUUUUUUGUUGUUGUUGUUUUAAGCCCUGGGCUUUCCAGGCUGAACUUUCUCACUACCAUUACACUGAAAAAGAGCCCUUGAAAGUUUUGCUCGGAUCUUGCACAUUCUUUUGGAAGUCUUACUGUGGAAAUUGUCCGUGUUUUCAGCUUCCACAUCCCUUUCUCCUGGGAGAUUUCUUUUCCGUUUUUUUUACUUUGUCUCUUUUCUUUCCUCCGCAACUGCUUUGUUGUUGUUGUUGUUGUUUCUUGUAAACCACUUCUCAAAAGUGAACUAGUUGCCGUUUAAUAGAAGUUUGGAUGAACUGCCCCCAAAAUAAAGGAAAUCCGAACAGUCAUGGAAGUUGACUCCAAUUGGAGGGAUGGCUCUGAUCAAUUACUCUUUCCACAGGAAUUGAACAGCUUGGACUUGGAGACAGUGAGUUAAAACAGAAAUAAGAAGGCGGCAGAAAAAGACUACCAGAUUGAAAUGUGUUGGAUAUUCAUAUCCACCCAGCACCUCAGAAUGUGGCCAUGGAGGAUGGAGACAGAGAUUGGAGUGAUGCAUCUUCAAGCCUAGGAACACUAAGGAUUGCUGGUAAUCACCAGAAGCUGGAAGAGGCAAGAAAGUGUCCUUUCCUAGAGCCUUCAGAGAGAGCGCAGCCCUGCCAACACCUUGAUUAUAUGCUUCAAGCUUCUAGAAUUGUGAGAGAAUAAAUUUCUGUUGUUAUAAGCCA
ensembl:lncRNA TNKS2-DT TNKS2 divergent transcript